rnacentral:rRNA from 1 species
UGGGGAAUAUUGCACAAUGGACGGAAGUUUGAUGCAGCGACGCCGCGUGGAGGGUGUAGGCCUUCGGGUUGUGAACUCCUUUUUCUCGCGAAAAAGGCACAGUUUUGGCUGUGUUGAUGGUAGUGGGGGAAGAAGCGCCGGCUAACUACGUGCCAGCAGCCGCGGUAAUACGUAGGGCGCGAGCGUUGUCCGGAUUUAUUGGGCGUAAAGAGCUCGUAGGUGGUUCGUCGCGUCUGUCGUGAAAGCCAGCAGCUUAACUGUUGGUCUGCGGUGGGUACGGGCGGGCUUGAGUGCGGUAGGGGUGACUGGAAUUCCUGGUGUCGCGGUGGAAUGCGGAGAUAUCAGGGGGAACACCGAUGGCGAAGGCAGGUCACUGGGCCGUUACUGACACUGGGGAGCGAAAGCGUGGGGAGCGAACAGG